rnacentral:rRNA from 1 species
CCCUGCCAUUUGUACACACCGCCCGUCGCACCUACCGAUUGAAUGAUUCGGUGAAAAUUCCGGACUGAUGCCAAGACACCCUCGGGUGAUUUGAUAUUGGGAAGUUAUUUAAACCUCAUCAUUUAGAGGAAGGU